UGGCGAACGGGUGAGUAACACGUGAGUAACCUGCCCUUAACUCUGGGAUAAGCCUGGGAAACUGGGUCUAAUACCGGAUAGGAGCGUCCACCGCAUGGUGGGUGUUGGAAAGAUUUAUCGGUUUUGGAUGGACUCGCGGCCUAUCAGCUUGUUGGUGAGGUAAUGGCUCACCAAGGCGACGACGGGUAGCCGGCCUGAGAGGGUGACCGGCCACACUGGGACUGAGACACGGCCCAGACUCCUACGGGAGGCAGCAGUGGGGAAUAUUGCACAAUGGGCGCAAGCCUGAUGCAGCGACGCCGCGUGAGGGAUGACGGCCUUCGGGUUGUAAACCUCUUUCAGUAGGGAAGAAGCGAAAGUGACGGUACCUGCAGAAGAAGCACCGGCUAACUACGUGCCAGCAGCCGCGGUAAUACGUAGGGUGCGAGCGUUAUCCGGAAUUAUUGGGCGUAAAGAGCUCGUAGGCGGUUUGUCGCGUCUGUCGUGAAAGUCCGGGGCUUAACCCCGGAUCUGCGGUGGGUACGGGCAGACUAGAGUGCAGUAGGGGAGACUGGAAUUCCUGGUGUAGCGGUGGAAUGCGCAGAUAUCAGGAGGAACACCGAUGGCGAAGGCAGGUCUCUGGGCUGUAACUGACGCUGAGGAGCGAAAGCAUGGGGAGCGAACAGGAUUAGAUACCCUGGUAGUCCAUGCCGUAAACGUUGGGCACUAGGUGUGGGGACCAUUCCACGGUUUCCGCGCCGCAGCUAACGCAUUAAGUGCCCCGCCUGGGGAGUACGGCCGCAAGGCUAAAACUCAAAGGAAUUGACGGGGGCCCG
rnacentral:rRNA from 1 species